rnacentral:rRNA from 1 species
CCAAUAGCGUAUAUUAAAGUUGUUGCAGUUAAAAAGCUCGUAGUUGAAUUUUAGGCCUGGCCGGACGGUCCGUCUCUGGCGAGUACUGUUCUGUCGUCGGGUCUAUCCUUCUGGUGAGCCGGUAUGUUCUUAAUUGGGCGUGUCGGGGAGCCAGGACCAUUACCUUGAAAAAAUUAGAGUGUUUAAAGCAGGCUUUUGCUUGAAUAGAUUAGCAUGGAAUAAUAGAAGAGGACGUUGUGGUACUAUUUUGUUGGUUCAACGACCACCGUAAUGAUUAAUAGGGAUAGUUGGGGGCAUUAGUAUUCAAUUGUCAGAGGUGAAAUUCUUGGAUUUAUUGAAGACUAACUAUUGCGAAAGCAUUUGCCAAGGAUGUUUUCAUUAAUCAAGAACGAAAGUUAGGGGAUCGAAGACGAUCAGAUACCGUCGUAGUCUUAACCAUAAACUAUGCCGACUAGGAAUCGGGCGACGUUAUUUUCACGACUCGCUCGGCGCCUUAUG